rnacentral:rRNA from 1 species
CGCCUAACACAUGCAAGUCGAACGAAGUAGCAAUACUUAGUGGCAGACGGGUGAGUAACAUGUAGGUAUCUGCCAUUUGUCCUUGAAUAACACGAGGAAACUUGAGCUAUUACCGGAUAAGUCUUUACGGAAAAAGCUUUAUGCUCCAUUGGAUGAGCCUGCACUUGAUUAGUAUGUUGGGUGGGUAAUGGCCUACCAAGACUGUGAUCAAUAGCUGAUUUGAGAGGAUGAUCAGCCACAUUGGGACUGAGACACGGCCCAAACUUCUACGGGAGGCAGCAGUGGGGAAUCUUGCACAAUGGAGGAAACUCUGAUGCAGCGAUGCCGCGUGAGUAAAGAAGGCCCUUGGGUUGUAAAGCUCUUUCGUCGGGGAAGAAAAUGACUGUACCCGAAUAAGAAGGUCCGGCAAACU